CCUCGAAGAUAGGUGGGUCGAACUUCUUAAACUGGAUGAGAGCCGCCAAGGUGCGCUCUCGCUCCGCCUCUACCGCCGCGCUAUCGGGGUUUGAGGUUCCCGAUCCGGCCGGUACUACCGUAACUGGAACAGCCGCUGCUGCCGCCGCUCCCUCACCUACACUCGGCACUACCGCAGGGGGCGCGACAUGCUCGACAUCCGCCUGGGCCACCGGUGCUUGUGACGCUCCAAGGCCUCCUGAAGCCGCUGGAUCUGCUCCCCUUGGCGUUGAACAGACUCCGCCUGUUGCCGCACUACUCCAAUGAGCGCAGCCAUUUGCUCCCUAAGCUCUCCAUCGCCACUCACUCGGGAUCGCUCAGGCUCCGCACUCGGCUCCUCCGGCAUCGACCUUGUCUGAGGUCGUCCACGAGGUGCCAUUGCUUCCUGAAAAGAAGCAACUCGCAUCAGCUACAUAACCAACAUCACUUGACCAUACCCAAUCUGGCGAAAGCAACU
rnacentral:lncRNA from 1 species